rnacentral:rRNA from 1 species
GCGAGUGAAGCGGCAAGAGCUCAAAUUUGAAAUCUGGCUCCUCCGGGGUCCGAGUUGUAAUUUGCAGAGGAUGCUUCGGGUGCGGUCCCCAUCUAAGUGCCCUGGAACGGGCUGUCAUAGAGGGUGAGAAUCCCGUCUGGGAUGGGCGGCCGUGCCCGUGUGAAGCUCCUUCGACGAGUCGAGUUGUUUGGGAAUGCAGCUCUAAAUGGGUGGUAAAUUUCAUCUAAAGCUAAAUAUUGGCCGGAGACCGAUAGCGCACAAGUAGAGUGAUCGAAAGAUGAAAAGCACUUUGAAAAGAGAGUUAAACAGCACGUGAAAUUGUUGAAAGGGAAGCGCUUGCGACCAGACUCGCCUGCGGGGGUUCAGCCGGUAUUCGUACCGGUGUACUCCCCCGUGGGCGGGCCAGCGUCGGUUUGGGCGGCCGGUCAAAGGCCCCCGGAAUGUGUCGCCUCUCGGGGCGUCUUAUAGCCGGGGGUGCAAUGCGGCCAGCCUGGACCGAGGAACGCGCUUCGGCACGGACGCUGGCGUAAUGGUCGUAAGCGGCCCGU